rnacentral:misc_RNA from 1 species
GCUAAAUCUAGUUAUGUCUGAAAUAAGCCUAACUGAUUAGAAAUGCUAGGACAUACCCUAGCUAGACUGAAACAAAAAAUUAAAAACGAAGGGAAAUAAUUAUGUCACGUGUCCUCAAAGGAUGAGGACUCACCACUGUAACUGUUGAACUGAAGAUCGGGAACCGAUUUAAACGUGAUCUGGAAGCUUAAAACCUGAACCUACAUCACUAGAAGAUGUAGCGCAGAGUAUGUGUUAAUACUUGAAACGUCAAGCACAUCGAUAUGUGGUGCUCACUUGUCCACAAGUCAUGCCAUUCGUUGAGUGAGUAUUUAUGGAAAUCAAUUUACAAUAUUGUAU